UACGUAGGGGGCAAGCGUUGUUCGGAAUUACUGGGCGUAAAGGGCGCGUAGGCGGGCUGUCCAGUCUGGGGUGAAAUCCCGCGGCUCAACCGUGGAACUGCCUCAGAUACUGACGGCCUCGAGGGAGAUAGGGGCAUGCGGAACUGUAGGUGGAGCGGUGAAAUGCGUUGAUAUCUACAGGAACUCCGGUGGCGAAGGCGGCGUGCUGGAUCUCUUCUGACGCUGAAGCGCGAAAGCUAGGGGAGCAAACGGG
rnacentral:rRNA from 1 species